rnacentral:rRNA from 1 species
UACAGAGGGUGCGAGCGUUAAUCGGAAUUACUGGGCGUAAAGCGUGCGUAGACGGUUAUUUAAGUCGGGUGUGAAAGCCCCGGGCUCAACCCGGGAAUUGCAUUCGAGACUGAAUAGCUAGGGUACGGUAGAGGGAAGUGGAAUUUCCGGUGUAGCGGUGAAAUGCGUAGAUAUCUGGAGGAACACCGAUGGCGAAGGCAGCCGCCUGGGCCACAACUGACGCUGAGGUACGAAAGCGUGGGGAGCAAACAGG